rnacentral:misc_RNA from 1 species
GAAAUUUUGGUUAAUCGUUUUAUUUUUUUGACAAAAUUAAAAAUUCAUGCUGGAAAUGAUAUAUAUAUAUAUAUACCAUCAUCACAUGUGUACGACUUUAGUUCCAUUUUUAGUAUUAAAUAUUUUUCAGCUGAGUGCUCCUUAGCUUUUUAGGAUGAGUUUGUGUGCAUACUUUUCUAGAAUUUCUAUCUAUUUCCUCUUUGAAUUAAAUCCACAAUCAACCUAGUUAUCUUAUACCUUGCACCAAUUUCAGUAGUGGCUAAUGUUGCCCUG